rnacentral:rRNA from 1 species
UACGUAGGGGCCUAGCGUUGUCCGGAAUUAUUGGGCGUAAAGAGCUCGUAGGCGGUCUGUCGCGUCUGCUGUGAAAACUCAGGGCUUAACCCUGAGCUUGCAGUGGGUACGGGCAGACUAGAGUGCGGUAGGGGAGACUGGAAUUCCUGGUGUAGCGGUGAAAUGCGCAGAUAUCAGGAGGAACACCGGUGGCGAAGGCGGGUCUCUGGGCCGAUACUGACGCUGAGGAGCGAAAGCCAUGGGUAGCGAACAGG